rnacentral:rRNA from 1 species
GAUGAACGCUGGCGGCGUGCCUAAUACAUGCAAGUCGAGCGAACAGACGAGGGGCUUGCUCCUCUGACGUUAGCGGCGGACGGGUGAGUAACACGUGGAUAACCUACCUAUAAGACUGGGAUAACUUCGGGAAACCGGAGCUAAUACCGGAUAAUAUAUUGAACCGCAUGGUUCAAUAGUGAAAGACGGUUUUGCUGUCACUUAUAGAUGGAUCCGCGCCGCAUUAGCUAGUUGGUAAGGUAACGGCUUACCAAGGCAACGAUGCGUAGCCGACCUGAGAGGGUGAUCGGCCACACUGGAACUGAGACACGGUCCAGACUCCUACGGGAGGCAGCAGUAGGGAAUCUUCCGCAAUGGGCGAAAGCCUGACGGAGCAACGCCGCGUGAGUUAUGAAGGUCUUCGGAUCGUAAAACUCUGUUAUUAGGGAAGAACAAAUGUGUAAGUAACUAUGCACGUCUUGACGGUACCUAAUCAGAAAGCCACGGCUAACUACGUG